GUAUUAGAUACGUAUUGUAUCCGAUACUCAUAUCGGUAUCCAUACUUCAUAGAUAUUACUAAUUUUUUUUUCAAGUUCUUGUGCUCCAUAUAUCACCCCUCUUCCUUGCGGAUUGUUAUUUAUGAUGGUCCGCCUAUUUAAAUCUUAGCAUGAUGCAAUAUGAAUAGGUGGUGAAAAUAUGGUUAUUUGAUAUUUAACGUUUUAUGCCAACCAAUUUUUUCGGAGUAGGUAUGGAUGCAGUGGAGUAUAAGAGAAGGGUCCGGCAGCAGGCAAAGCAAUACCCAGCUAUUCUCUAGUUCUUUCUUAGCUCAUUUUAGGAACUAGUAUGGUAGAUAUGCUCUCUUUUGUUCUGUGCUAAAACUUUAAGUAAUCUGUGAUUGUUGACUUCCAUAAUAUGCACUAUGCAGACACCAUGGUUUAACUUGUUAUGCUUAUUCUCAUAUCUGGAUGAAGUGUUAAUAAAAACAAGAUGUGAAAGUCAACUAAUGCUUACUUGAUACAUGUGCCGGAUAUUUGCUGCUCUAUUUCUAAAUAUGAAUGGAUUACUUACUGUGAUGUCUGACGAAUUAUAUAACUGUAUUUGUUUCUCGAUUCUUUGUUUCCUUUUUCGAGAUCAAAGUUAGACCUCUGCGACCAGUUGUUGUGUCAUUAGACUGUUGCCCUUUGCCAUGGCAGCAUAAAUUAUUGCUGAAGGGUUUACUUCUUACAUCUGAAAGGGGGAUGAGUAGAGAUUAGUCCAAUCGUGAAAUCUCCCGGUUUUGCAUCCUGGAUUUUGGGAAAAGUUCAGCGGUACGUCUGGGUUUGGAGGAU